UACAGGGGGUGCAAACGUUGCUCGGAAUUAUUGGGCGUAAAGCGCGCGUAGGCGGCUACUUAAGUCGGAUGUGAAAGCCCUUGGCUCAACUGAGGAAGUGCACCCGAAACUGAGUGGCUAGAGUACGAAAGAGGGUCGCGGAAUUCCCGGUGUAGAGGUGAAAUGCGCAGAUAUCAGGAAGAACACCCGUGGCGAAGGCGGCUCUCUGGGACGUGACUGACGCUGAGACGCGAAAGCGUGGGGAGCGAACAGG
rnacentral:rRNA from 1 species